GACUCUAAAGGCCCCCAAAAAUGCUCUGAAAUACUACAGACGUAGGCUAUUAACGUGAUAGCAACAACAUAUGACUUUCAAACCUCAUAACUCCUUCAAUCCUAUGCACAAAAAUGCAAGUAAGUACCCAUAUGAAAGGUACCGAAACCAUCAAAACGUCAACAACUUGUUGUAACAUCACUCUGAGAACGAAAAUGAAAUCGAGAUUUCGCGAGUAGGGUUCUUUGACCGACCAAGAACUGAAUCAAAACGAAAAAGGAAAAGGGAUUACGUAGGUUAGUCACCCGAAAGACUACGAUCUCCUUUUCUGCUAUCUCCUCUCUCCCUCCACUUCGCCAAAAUUUAGAUAUGUCCCACUCUCCAAUUCUUCGUAGGCACCAUGGGAUGGAGAGCAGGGAAGAGAUGAGGGUUGUUGAUCGUACAAAUAGAAGAAAAC
rnacentral:lncRNA from 7 species